rnacentral:tRNA from 1 species
CCGCAGUAGCUCAUGGAGAGCACCCGGUACUUAACCGGAAGGCGUGAGUGCGACGGCACUUUGGUUCGAUUCCCGCCUGCGGCA